AGGAUGAACGCUGGCGGAGUGCCUAAUACAUGCAAGUCGAGCGGCAGCGCGAGUAGUUUACUACUUGGCGGCGAGCGGCGGACGGCUGAGUAACGCGUGGGAACGUGCCCAAAGUGAGGAAUAACUGCCCGAAAGGGUAGCUAAUACCGCAUAUGGUCUUCGGAUUAAAGGAUUUAUCCGCUUUGGGAGCGGCCCGCGUCAGAUUAGGUUGUUGGUGAGGUAACGGCUCACCAAGCCGACGAUCUGUAGCUGAUCUGAGAGGAUGAUCAGCCAGACUGGGACUGAGACACGGCCCAGACUCCUACGGGAGGCAGCAGUAAGGAAUCUUCCACAAUGGACGAAAGUCUGAUGGAGCAAACUCCGCGUGCAGGAUGAAAGGCCUUGGGUUGUAAACGUAGCUUUGUAUGUGAAGAAUAUGACGGUAACAUACGAAUAAGGUACGGCGUAACUACGUGCCAGCAGCGC
rnacentral:rRNA from 1 species